CCUACGGGAGGCAGCAGUGAGGGAUAUUGCGCAAUGGGCGAAAGCCUGACGCAGCGACGCCGCGUGGGCGAGGAAGGCCUUCGGGUUGUAAAGCCCUUUUGGCAGGGAAGAGCAAGGACUGUACCUGCAGAACAAGUCACGGCUAACUACGUGCCAGCAGCCGCGGUAAAACGUAGGAGGCAAGCGUUAUCCGGAUUCACUGGGCGUAAAGCGCGUGCAGGUGGUGCUGUAAGUUGGGCGUGAAAUCUCCUGGGUUAACUGGGAGGGGCCGUUCAAUACUGAAGCACUUGAGGGCAGGAGAGGGAGGUGGAAUUCCCGGUGUAGGGGUGAAAUGCGUAGAUAUCGGGAGGAACACCAGUGGCGAAGGCGGCCUCCGGGCCUGUUCCUGACACUAAGACGCGAAAGCUAGGGGAGCGAACGGGAUUAGAUACCCCUGUAGU
rnacentral:rRNA from 1 species